GCUCGAUUCGUCUAUCGGUUAGGACACCAGCCUUUCACGUUGGUAAGACCGGUUCGAUUCCGGUAUCGAGUACCA
rnacentral:tRNA from 1 species